AAUGUAUUUCAGCAGUCCACGCUUCCUUACCAUGGACCUGCACGCUGUGCCAUCACACAGUCCACAAAGUAAACCUAACUAAAACCCCCCAAAACCCCACAGAGCUUUCGCUCAGAUCCACAAUGCUAAAACUCCUCGCUUUCUCUCUUAUAAAUCUUCCUUUGCUCAAUCAGCUAUUAUCCAACCCUUCAUUCGCAGUCUCCACCAAUCUAAGAACAUACUUGUAUGCCUGUAUUUCUUCUGUUAAUUUAAUUUGAUUGUAGUUUACGUUUCUGGGUCUUUGUUUUGGCACAUGGGCAUUGAAGCUUCUCUCAGGUUGGUGCCUAAAUCUUGAUUUUAGCUAAUUGGCGUGUUCUAGUUUGAGAAAAUUUGAAGAACAUCGUCUCUGGUUUUAGUCAUUGGGUUUUCUAAUUUCUGGGUUUUGUUCAACUUGUGAAGUGGGCAGUGGAUAUAUAUAUUCAUAAUGGUUUGUGUAGAAUCUUGAUAUUGAUGGAUGGGUAUGUAUCAAUCUGAGGAAGCUCCUAAAACAUGCUCUCUCUGCGAACCAGUCGCAGAUUUUGUCAUGCCGCCAUUGCCAUAACUUCAAAUGGUUGUCCUGCAGCUGUGUCAAAUCACGUUUUUGAUACAAAACCUUUGGAAGAACCUGCCCUCGUUAAGCUUAAAGCCGAGAGAGACCCCGAAAAGCUAUUCCACCUGUUUAAGGCCAACGCUCAUAAUACGCUUGUCAUUGAGAACCGAUUUGCAUUUGAAGACACGGUGUCUAGGCUAGCUGGAGCUCGAAGGUUUGAUUACAUUGAACAUUUGCUUGAGCAUCAGAAGACUCUUCCUCAAGGUCGGCGAGAAGGGUUCAUUAUGAGGAUUAUAACAUUGUAUGGUAAGGCUGGGAUGACUAAGCAUGCUAUUGAUACUUUUUGUGAUAUGCAUUUAUAUGGUUGUUGUAGGACUGUUAAAUCCUUCAACGCUGCACUCAAAGUUUUGACUCAAACCCGUGAUUUAGGAGCCAUAGAGGCAUUUCUGAACGAGGUUCCACGGAAGUUUGACAUUGAAGUGGACGUAUUUUCGGUUAAUAUUCUUAUCAAGGCUUUUUGUGAAAUGGGAAUUUUGGUUAAAGCAUAUCGGAUCAUGGUACAGAUGGAAAAGUUGGGAAUAAGACCAGAUGUCAUUACAUAUACCACACUGAUGUCGGCAUUUUAUAAGGAAAACUGGUGCGAGAUUGGUAAUGGUUUAUGGAAUCUUAUGGUGCUGAAGAGGUGUUUGCCUAAUCUUGCAACUUUCAAUGUUAGAAUCCAGUAUUUGGUUAACAGAAGACGAGCAUGGGAAGCUAACAAAUUGAUAGGUUUGAUGCAGAAUGUUGGGAUAACACCUGAUGAGGUCACAUAUAAUUUGGUGAUCAAAGGGUUUUUCCAGGCCGGGUAUCUUGAAAUGGCUAAAAGGGUGUAUUCUGCUCUACAUGGAAAGGGAUACAAGCCAAAUAUCAAAAUUUAUCAGACCAUGAUUCAUUAUCUUUGUAAAGGAAGGGAUUUUGAUUUGGCAUAUACUAUGUGUAAAGACUGCAUGCAAAAGAAUUGGUAUCCGAAUGUGGAUACCAUUCAUGCAUUGCUUGAAGGCCUAAAGAGGGGCAAGCAGCUUGGUAAGGCUAAGGCAGUCAUGAUGUUGGUUCGGAAAAGGGUGCCUCCAUUUUCUUCAAAACAAUUGGGGGAUUUACAAACCAUACUGAGCAAGAGUUGAAUUAAGAUGAGGGACUGGAAAACUGAGAAGUGGUAGAUUAUGUAACUGGACAGCUCAACAAGAGCUAGUAUUCUUUUUCCCCCACUCAUUUGUAAAUUUGCAGAACAAUUGACAUGAAUUUUUUUAAUCAUACGAAAGGGACAUCCUCAUUUCUUCAAUAAUUUGUAGUACCACCUCAAUUUAAAUGGAGCACUGAAUGGACAGCUAUCACCCAAAUUUGUUCUUUGGUGGUGCAGAACAGAAGGGUCAGGGAAUAAUGGCAAAGUCCUACCCAUUAGAUAUUAAUAUUAUUAAAUGCUUAUUUCGGUAAUUUCAAAUUAUUUGAAUGAUGAUGAAACAAGUGUUUAUUUAUUUAUUUAUUAGUAUUACAUCCAUCUAAAUCAAAUUCCUUUUAUUAUAAUUAAAGACCUUACAAGUACGAAACUUGUUAUUUAAAAGUAACACAUAAGGAUAUAAGAUGGCCGAUGGUCAGAGUGAUGGUUAGUUUAUAGACAUUGGAUUCUUAACAAUUAGUUGGUCAUAAUUAGUAGCUGUGGUGGUUUUAAACGACUAACUCUGCAAAAUUGGGAAUGGUGUUCUUAUGUCCCAAACUUGCCAGACCUUCUUGACCAUUUUACCCAAUUUCUUUAAUGGACCGGAAGUAAGGUGAGUAACAUAUGGGGAUUAUUCUUUUACAGAAUGUAUGUACAAAACCUUUUGAUGAUUAACAAAGUACAUGCUGAAUGGAUGAUAGGUAAUAUUUAGGCAUACAUGAGCAAAAUGAUAAGUUAUCUGAUGUGACUGGGGGGUUGCUGCAGCAUACUCUAAACGAGGAAGAUAGAGAAUAGGAUA